GGGAUCCAAAAUAUAGUGUCCAGUUUGAGUUAUACAGUCCUCAAAUAGAAAAAUACGGAAAUGUAAAUCCUAUUCUAAACUAAUCCUAAAUUAAGCUCCAAUGCCUCACCCGAUGCCUCGGGCCUUCCUCGCGAACGUCCUCCAAGUACAAGAUACUUUGGGGCAUUUCCCAAAUAAAUCAAUACAAAUCCCUCGAGGCAUCCCCCGGCCAAAUGAAUAUAUUUUUAGUACGGGAAAAUAAAACUAUUCAACAAAAUUUCAAACAUUCCACAGAAUUUCCAACAUUCAACCGAAGCCACAAAUUCUAAACUUUGCCUACCCAAAUUAUGUUUGCCUAAACCAAUCGACGUAUCAAGAUACUACCAAGUUCUAUUAACGUUCAUUUCAAGUCAAACAACCAAUGAAUCAAACUAACCAAAAUUCAGCAAUUAAGUCAAGUUUUCAAUUCUCACCCCACCCCCCAAUUAAUUCACGAUUCAAAAUAACUAAAGAUUCACCACCAACACAGAUCAAAUAAGACAUAACACGCAAUUUGAUACAUCCGAAUAUAAUGAAUAAUGAACUAACAGAAAGAUGGAAUAGGAAAAAGGAUAGAAUCCGUACCUGAAAACCUCGAACCGAACCUCAACAGUGACGAACUCCAACUCCGAUAUUGAAGAAUUCAAAACCAAAAACUGGUUGAGACGCGCGAAAUACUAAACCCCAAAAUAGGAACAAAAACUGAUGAAUCCCCCUAAGCUUGAUUCUGGCAACGAAACACAAAGUCAGACGAACCCAGAAACCCCAAUAUACAACAGAACCAAAGAACAGUGUAGCCUGAGCUUUGGUAAGCUUGGACAGCGUUAAAACGAUGAGAAAGGGAGGAUUCUGGUGAAUUUCAACGCAUUCAAGCUGGAUUUACUUGAAAAUCAAAAGAAACGAUGAGAUUUUUGGUGAUUUCAAACUGGUCGGUCAAGUCAACGAAUGAUGAUCGACUACCGACAAAGAUCUCACAGAACUUGGCCUGUACAGAACCUGAGACGGGGCUUCGGUGAGUGAACAUUCGCCAGAACAGUGUUCUCCGGCCUAUUCUGCUUUUUUCUCUCUCUCGUUCAACUGCUCUCUCCCAUCUCUCUCCCUUGUAGCUCUCUCUCUGUGUGUGUUUACCAAUUCAGAAGUGAGUAUCGCGUGUGUGUUUUUUGAGAGUGUGCGUGUGCAUGUUACUGGUGAGAAUGAGAAUAACAGAGGGGUCCAUUUUUUUAAUAGAAAAAAGAUGGGUCCUCCCUUUUUGAGUGAUAUACCCUGUGUAUGACGAUGGAGGAUUUUUUCCUUCUUGUGAGUGAAUUCUUUGGUCAAGAUGAAGAGUUUUUUUCUUCUCCUUUGAUCCUUAUUCGUGGGCCCCUCUUCCUUUACUUUUUGUGCUCUCUCUCUUCUGUAUAUGUGUAAGGACUAUAUAUAUAUAUAUGAAAGUGGUCUAGUCCCUCAGUAGGUGUGUGGAAUGGAAAAAACAAAGGAAUAAUUGUGAUUCCUUGCAUUGUGGGCCCCACAAGUUGUUAUCCUCUUUUGGAAUAUAGUGUAGAUGAUUAUGAAAUGGAAAAAAAAUGAAGGGAUCACGUGAGGUGUUCAAAUGAAAAUGGAUUGAGUUCUUGUUUUACUCUGGGGCCCACCUAUUUUUGUUCCAUUCCUUUUUUGUUCUCUUUUUUCUGUUAGUGAUAAUUAAAUGUGAAGGAAAGGGGUGGGGUAUAGGGUAGGUGGGGUAGUAGGUGAGGUGUAGAGGGGGUUAGGAUAGGAUAAAAUUUGUUAGGGAGUUAUUAUUUUUGUAUUUUGUGGGGGGAAUAAUUACAUGGUUGAGGGUACACGGUAGGAUAGGUAAAAAGGUGAAAACUAAUCUUUCGGAGGGACAAAAUUACGUGUCUACAUCAUGCCCCCUUUGAAUGUAAACACUCAAUAUUUUCAGACAAAAAAGUAGACAACGAGAUGGAAUUUUGUCCCAAUCUUUAUUCAAAAGCACGGAGGAAGAGAAAGGAGCGAAACCAGGUCUUGACUUAGGGCAUCCUACCUACCCAAGUUAUGAAAAAAAUCCAUCACAGGUACUUUCAAAGGAAGGAGAAAGGCUAUACCGAGUUGGAAAGUCGAGUGAGGCUCCAUCGAGGUUCCGGUCCACGGCUCUGUCAUUACAUUAAAAUGAAAAUUACAAGUUAAAACAUAAAUGAAAUUACAAAAAUCCUAUCUAUACAACUUCUGUUAGACUCCUGACUUAAGUUUCAUCACCCUAUUCUUCAGGCAGGCUCCUGAUUUGCAAUUUUAUCACUUGUUGCCUGGUUUUCAAUAGUUUCACCUUGUUGCUUAACUUUUCAUUUAUUCACCCUGUGCUUCGGGCGGGCUCCUGACUUGCCAUUUCAUCACUCUGUGCCUCGGCGGGCUCCUGACUUGUAAUUUCCUCACCCUAUUCUUCAGGCGAGCUCCUGACUUGCAAUUUCAUCAACUUGUUGUUUAGCUUUCAAAUGUUUCACCUCAUUGCUUAUCUUUCAAUUUCUUUGCCCUAUUCUUCUGGCGGACUCCUAAAAUCACAUCAAAACUAAAAAGAAAAUUAUUCCAAAUAAAGAUUAUUAUAAAGAGGUUUCAUUUUUCUGAAAGUAAUGUCCCAUUUUUCAGGAGGGUCCUGAACAUAAAGUAAAUCCCAUUUUCCAGGAAGGUCUUGAACAUAAAGUAAACUCUCAUUUCAGAAGGGUCCUGAACAUAAAGUAAAAUCUCAUUUUUCAGGAGGGUCCUGAACAGAAAGUAAAAUCUCAUUUUUCAGGAGGGUCCUGAAUAGAAAGUAAAAUUCCAUUUUUCAGGAGGGUCCUGAACAGAAAGUAAAAUCUCAUUUCUCAGAAGGGUCCUGAACAUAAAGUAAAUUCUCAUUUUUCAGGAGGGUCCUGAAUUGAAAGUAAAUUUCCAUUUUUCAGGAGGUUCCUGACUUGAAAUUAAAUUCCCAUUUUCCAGGAGGGUCCUGAACAUAAAUUAAAUUCCCAUUUUUCAGGAGGGUCCUGAACAUAAAGUAAAUUUUCAUUUUCUAGGAGGGUCCUGAAUUGAAAGUAAAUUCCCAUUUUCCAGGAGGGUCCUGAAUUAAAAGUAAAUUCUUAUUUUUCCAGGAGGGUCCUGAACAUAAAGUAAAUUCUCAUUUUCCAAGAGGGUCCUGAAUUGAAAGUAAAUUCUCAUUUUCUAAGAGGGUCCUGAACAUAAAGUAAAUUUCCAUUUUUCAGGAGGGCCUUGAACAUAAAGUAAAUUCUCAUUUUCCAGAAGGGUCCUGAGUUGAAAGUAAAUUUCCAUUUUCCAGGAGAGUCCUGAACAUAAAGUAAAUUCUCAUUUUUCAGGAGAGUCCUGAACAUAAAAGUAAAUUCCCAUUUUCCAGGAGGAUCCUGAACAUAAAGUAAAUUCUCAUUUUUCAGGAGGGUCCUGAACAUAAAGUAAAUUCUCAUUUUCUAGGAGGGUCCUGAGUUGAAAGAAAAAUUCCAUUUUUCAGGAGGGUCCUGAAUUAAAAGUAAAUUUUCAUUUUUCUAGGAGGGUCCUGAACAUAAAGUAAAUUCUCAUUUUCCAGGAGGGGCCUGAAUUGAAAGUAAAUUCUCAUUUUCCAGGAGGGUCCUGAACAUAAAGUAAAUUUUCAUUUUUCAGGAGGGUCCUGAGUUAAAAGUAAAUUCUUAUUUUCCAGGAGGGUCCUGAACAUAAAGUAAAUUUCUAUUUUUCAGGAGGGUCCUGAACAUAAAGUAAAUUCCCAUUUUUCAGGAGGGUCCUGAGUUGAAAGUAAAUUCUCAUUUUCCAGGAGGGUCCUGAACAUAAAUUAAAUUCCCAUUUUUUUAGGAGGGUCCUGAACAGAAAGAAAAAUCUCAUUUUUCAGGAGGGUCCUGAAUAGAAAGUAAAGUCCCCACGGAUGUGCAUUUCCAGUGGUAGCUGAAUUAAGUGAAGCAAAUUUGCCCCUGUUUCAACAAAGAAAAUUUGUCAGUUAAAAACUUAGUGGUGGCUUGCGGCACUAGGCUGUCCUGAUAACUGCUCAGUGUUCAUUCCCUUCAUUUUGUUUCAGAUUGCUGGCACUUGCCCCUGUUUUUUCGUGUCAUUGAUCCAAACUCAGAUUAUUAAGAGUGACUCUGAAGUAAACACAUUAUUUCUGCUCUGCCAUGCUUCUUAGAUAAACCCUUUAAACCUUGAUAUUUCCAUGAGUUUUCAGACUCGUUUGUUGACAAACUUUUGCAUGCCUUAUUUCAGCUCACAAUCAUAUCCCUUUCAUAUGCUGGCCUUUUGUUUUGCUUUCUGCAAUUGAAGAAGCUGGCAGCCAGUUUUGAAAUCUUUUCUCACUUGUUUUGACAUGGAUUUGACUCAAAGACAAGAGAAAAAUGACAAUAGUUCUUAUUUGGGAUAACUGACUCAAGAAAAAUAAAAUGAAUAUAAAAAGAAGAAAUAAAAGACAGUGAAUGUCCCCAUUUGAAGAAAUGAAAAAUUAUCUAAAAAUGACAGUCAACUCUAAUGAUUAUGCCAUGCAUUUCGGAUUAAACUGUCUGAUCUUUCCAUCCAAAACGCUCACAAAUUGUUGUUGAGUUAAUGUUCUUAAAACUAAGUUGCUUCCUUGGGUCAAUUUAUUUUUAAGACCUCAUCCGACUAGUGGCACCUUGAAGGGUUUUCGUUAUCAAACUUCUCUCAUUUUGUUUUUCUCAGCUCACCAUUUCCUUAUGGUGUCUGUAAGGGGUUUUCACCAAUGACUCUUUUAUUAUUAUUUUUCCCAACUCACAAUCAUUUUACGGUGCCCAUGAGGGUUUUCACCAAUCAGACUCUUUCAUUUUUAUUUCUCUCAGCUUACUAUCAUCUUAUGAUGCUCAUAAGGGUUUUCACCGAUAAGACUCUCUCAUUUUCAUUUCUCUCCUGAUUCCUUGUGCUGAGGAAGACAAGCAGUCCCAAAAUGCGUCAUCACAUCCAUUGCAUGUUUAGCCUUAUCAUUCUCAAAGAUUAAUCUGAAGGUAUUUCUUUGGUUGUAACUUAGCUUUUGGAUAGUGUUAGAAAGAAAGGAUGGCAUGAGGCCUAAACAACACUUGAAGUGGAGUGGGACUUACAACUUUUGGAAUCAACUCAAAAAGUGAGGAUUAACUCAUGCCCCAGUUUCUUUUGACUGGGUGAUGCUAAAUUGUUUAUUUGGUUGGACCGAGCCUCAGGUAGGGCAGCCUACGUAUCUCACCCCCGAAAGAGGAGAAUCAGGUCACGCGUAGUUCUGGAAGCUUGUUUUGUUUGAAUCUAAUUUUUUUUCUAUAUUUCUUUUAUUGACCCUUUCUUUUUUUUUUCUAACUCUAUUUUUCUUGAUAUUCUUCUCUUUUAUUUCUUUUUGGACACAUUUUUCUCUUUUUUUCUAACACUAUUUUGCUCGACACUUUUUUUAAGCUUUGUUGACUCUAUCUUGAUUCCAAAAGAGGGGUAUGAAAUAAAAUAACACUAAGGCUCAAAUGGGGUAAACAAAGGAUGACAUAAUGUUUGGAUAGAAGAAUAAAAUGUCUUCAUCAUGUCAAUCCUUGAAAAUACUAGUACAUAGCAUGCAAUGUGAAAGUACACGAUCAACAUCACUUAUGACAUGUUUUAUAACACUAACUUGCCCCGAACAUGUGUUUCACCUCUUUUUAUAUACUUGUCAAACAUACAACUCCACAUUUGUUAUACAUCCCUCACAUUGAAAGAUUUAUUAUGCUUUUCUGGAGCUGCAUAUCUUCUUGUUUCUCUUGAUAUAGGGAUCACGCGCCCACUAUUUGAUCUAAUUAGGACCUUCCUUUCGAUCGAUAACUAAGUUGUUCUUGUGAUUCUCAAAAUAAUUGCCUUAACCUAUCACCAAAUGUCUCAGCACUCUAUCUAUUUUCUCAUAUACUCUCUUUUUCUAACUUUAACCCUCUGAUUCAAUGUUCAUGCUUAAACUGGAUUUUAAGAUCUGGAUAAAAAUUUCCUUAGCAUGUCAUAUCGCUAAAGUCAACAUAAAACGUAAUGUGGAAAGAAAACAAACACAUAUUUAAAACACAAAGUAAAAGGGACACUUUAUUUAGUUGAAAUAUAAUAUAGAAUGGUUUGAACAUAAAUGACACUGGGACAUAACAAGAUAGAUCCCGAAUUAUAACCUUGAAGUAAUUUGGAGAAUAGAAAAGAAAACAAAAUAAACUACCAGAACCCUUCCAAGUAGGGAGAGGGGUGACUUCUCAAUCGCUCAGUCUGACAACUUAGCCACUGAUUUGCAUAUCAUGACUAAAGCUUUCAUCACCAUCAAACACCUUUCCCUCCACAAAUAAGUUCUGGAUCUUCAUGUUUAACUCGUUGCUUCCCACGUAUUGUGCAUCGCCAUGUGUUGGUAUAGUAUUCUGUGUGACGCUCGAGGUAUCAAUAUUUUUCACGACAAUCAUUUUUUCCUGAAUCAUCUUUUCUAUUUCUCUUUUCAAAGUACGAUAAUCUUCAGUACUAUGACCCUGAACAUCAGAAUGAUAUGCACACUAUACACUAGGGUCAAACUUUCUUGAAUAAGGGUUAGGAGUACACCCAAGGAGAGGAGUAAUUAAUCCCCUCUGUCUCAAUCUCUGGAACAAACUGGCAUAGGAUUCCCCAAUGGGAGUAAAAUUAUCCUUUUCUUUCCCCCUCUUUGUGAACUCUGACCUCGAAUAAAACUUGGAUUUAGAGGUUCCUUGGUAAAUUUGUAGGGGCUGAGGACGAUGUUGAGGUACCGGUGCAUACCAUUGUGGAUAGAAAGACAGACCAGCAUACGACUGUGCAUUGUUCAAAGGAUACUGAGGACAUGGAAUAAAAUAUCUUGGAUUUUAAAAAGAGGAACCUUAUUGUAGGUGAGUCUAUGGAUUUGAUAUGUAAGAUCGGGACUGAGGCUGACAAUAUUGGUGAGUUGGACCUCUCAAACUCUGUUUUUGCCCUGACGCGACAAUAGGUGUGUUUUCCUUCUUCUUUCUUUCAGUUUCCCUGGAUUGAUUGCAAUAUCGUUCCAAAUGUUUCUCAGAAUCCUUCUGUCCAUCAUGUUCCUCAAAUUUUGAUAUUUCAAAGCUUUGAAGAUAGUUGACCUCUGAAGACAUACCCCAGUCUUUAUAUGAAACAUCUUCUUUACCCACAAGUCCCAGGAAAUUUUCCAUGUCAUUUUCUACAUUUUUCACCUUCCCCACAAUUUCCUCUGGCUUUUCUAGUAUGCUAGGCUUUUUGGUAAGAAAUUUUGGCAGUCCAAUUAACUUAAUUGUAGGCUCAAGAGUAUAGAAAUGAUUAUCAAGAGCCUUGAAUAUGGGUCCACUAGCAGAUUGGGGUGGCACAACCAUUGAUUUGAUAUCCAAAGUGGAAGCCUCACUAGAAGGUUAAACAACAAAGGCACAGACGGUAUGUGGUGCUAUGAACGUGGUAGGCUUAUACUGAGGAGCUAAAGAAUGAGUGGCGAAAGUAUUGGGGUACAUUUGACGUGAAAUGGAUUCUGCGACAUGUUGUGAUGCAUCAAUAACAUCAAGAAACUGACUUUGCAAUUUUGGUGGAAGACUCAAGGUAUUUGCAAGGUCAAAAGUGGGGAACGGAGGGGGAGGCAGCCCACUAGCCCAGGCUCGAUACAUUUCCAUUACUUAUUGUCUUAGUCUCCAAUUCUCUUCCUUUAAACUCUCAAUUUCUUGACUCUUUGUUUGAUCCAUGAUGUCACUCGCUAUAUCCUUGUUGGACACAACUAACCUUUUGGAGUUGGUGUGAUGUGGAGGACCAGCCAGAAUUCCACAAACCAACCAUCAUAAACAAACUGAACAAGAGAUAGCAAAUGCGUUAGAGUUCAACACUUUUUCAAAACUCUUUUUUCCUUUUUUUUAUAAGAUCACCGAACCCGAGAAGGGCGCUUGCAUAUCUCACCCCGAAAGAGGAGAAUCAGGUGUGCGUAGUUCGUGAAGUCUUGCCAAAAUGGCCAAUUAAACUCUUUUUUCUAUUCCUUGAAACUUUAAGAAGAAAAGAAAAUAACAAUUUGUCAAAAGAAUUGACGAAAAUCUUUUUGAAUUUUUUUCAAUUUUAACAUCCCUAUACAAAAUGAAAUCUAAGAUUACCAAAGAAAGAUCUUUUUAUUUUUUUUGCAUUUCAUACGAAAAUGAAACUUGAACCUAUUAAGGAAAAUCUUUUUUGUAGUUUUCUCUUAAAGAUGUAUAUGAAACACCUACCCUAAAGGAAAAGUGAAGAAAAUCUUUUUGGAUCUUUCAUAUUCCUAUACGAAAUGAAACCAAUGAUUACCAAAGAAAAUCUUUUUGGGUUUUCAAUUUUGAAUUUCAUAUGAAAAUGAAAAUUGAAACUAUCAAAGAAAGAUCUUUUUGCAGUUUUCUAUUAACGAAGUAUAUGACACCUACUCUAAAUAAAGAGUGAAGAAAAUCUUUUUGGAUUUUUGAAAUAAGAUCCCCAAACCAACAAUAGGCUGCCUGCGUAUCUCACUCCCGGGAGAGGAGAAUCAGGGGUGCGUAGUUCGUCCAGAUUGGACAAUUAAGGAUUAAAACGAACUAAGACUUGACUUGAGAGACGUAACUAUAGACAGACGAUGAGAAAUAAAAUCUUUUUGGAUUUUCAAUUAGAUGCUUCACACAAAACUGACACCAACAACUAUGAAAGAGAAAAAAAUCUUUUUGGCAUUUUCGUUAUAUAAAAUGUAUAGAACUUCUACCAUUUUUGCAUUUUGCUUUUAUUAGAAAAAAACUCCUAAAACAAUACUUUUUUUUUUUGGAUUUUUUUUGAAUUAUGAAUGCAUUCUAAAGGAGAUAAAGGGAAAAUCUUUUUUUUUGUUUGUUUUUGAGUAAAUGCGUGAAAAAGGUAAGAAAAUCUUUUUGAAUUUUUGAAUUGUGAAAAAUAAAAGUCAUAAAGAAAUCUAAAAAACCUACGAAACUCUUUUUGAUUCACCUUUUUUAUUUUUCCUUUUUUUUUUUUUUAAUUUUUCCAUGCCUAGACAUCUUUCUUUAAUUCUAGCCCAUGUUUUUUCCCAAAUCAGUCCGUCAAAUGACCGCGUUACCCUCAGAGAUGCAACAUUUAGCAUGUAGGGAUGCUUUAAAGGUGAGUCUCCUACAAAGGACCAAGUGGGCCCCACUAGGUCUCAAUAUGAUGCACAUAAGCAUGACCUAAAGGCUGACCUACAUUGUGGUUUACUAACAAAGCCGUUCGGGGGAGCAUAUGGUCGAUAGUGGCUGCUUUGCUUUCCACCUAUUCCAUACAUCCAACGGCUCCCCCCUAAAAUAAGGGUAACUCAACUAGAGUUCGUGCGCACGACGUGCACUCCGGGACUUAUUGCAAAAAGAAUUGACUCGGGUUAUGCAAAUAAUGUCAGAUAUAAAGCGGUAAUACAUAAAGAAAAACUGUAAACAAAGAGCACAGAAACGCGCAACAGUGAUAACAAUAACACAAACAAUAAUCACAAACAAUGUUUAUACAUCCAUAAUGCCACACAAAGCCAUACGACUAAAAAAAAUAAGCUUAAAUUCUGAAAAAUCCCCAGCAGAGUCACCAGAGCUGUCACACCCCUUUUUACACUCCAAAAAAAAGAUUCAUUUUAAGUUUGAAAGAGUUUUGUUAUUAAGGUGACAAAAAAUUGAAGGUUGUUUCGAAAAAUAAUUAUUUACAUUUUUAUUCAGAGUCACCACUUGGCAUAAUCCGGUGUGCCAAGUCACCUUUAAAAGAUCUUUUUUAAAAUGAUUUGACUCUUAAACUGAUUUGCGAACAGAGAUUCCGACUAAGGAAUUCUGUUGACCGCGGGGAAGGUGUUAAGUAACUUUCGGUCCCGUGGUUUGACAACGGUCGCUUGGUGGAGGGUAUCAACUAAUUUGGCACUUCGAUGUACAAACCACACAAAAACAUGUAAAACAAUCAAUCAAACAAAUAAACAAACAAAACAAAGGGGAUCCAAAAUAUAGUGUCCAGUCCGAGUUAUACAGUCCCAAAAUAGAAAAAUACAAAAAUGUAAAUCCUAUUCUAAACUAAUCCUAAACUAAGCUCUAAUGCCUCACCCGAUGCCUCGGGCCUUCCUCGCGAACAUCUUCCAAGUACAAAAUACUUCGGGGCAUUCCCCAGAUAAAUCAAUACAAAUCCCUCGAGGCAUCCCCCGGCCAAAUAAAUACAUUUUUAGUGCGGGAAAAUAAAACUAUUCAACAAAAUUUCAAAUAUUCCAUAGAAUUUCCAACAUUCAACCGAAGCCACAAAUUCUAAACUUUGCCUACCCAAACUAUGUUUGCCUAAACCAAUCGACGUAUCAAGAUACUACCAAGUUCGAUUAAUGUUCAUUUCAAGUCAAACAACCAAUGAAUCAAACUAACCAAAAUUCAGCAAUUAUGUCAAGUUUUUAAUUCUCACCCCACCCCACUCAAAUUAAUUCACGAUUCAAAACAACUAAAGAUUCACCACCAACACAGAUCAAGCAAGACAUAACGGCAAUUUGAUGCAUCCGAAUAUAAUGAAUAAUGAACUAAUAGAAAGAGGAAAUAGGAUUGGACCUCAAUUCGAAGAUUUCAAAAUUCAAUAAUACUUCAAUGAAAGGAUAGAAUCCGCGUCCGAAAACCUCGAAAUGAACCUUAACAGUGACGAACUCCAACUCUGAUAUUAAGGAAUUUGAAACCAAAAAUUGGUUGAGACGCGCGAAUACUAAACCCAAAAAAGGAACAAAAAAUGAUGAAUCCCCCGAAGCCCGAUUCUGGCGACGAAACACAAAGUCAGACAAACCCAGAAACCCCAAUACACAAUAGAACCAAAGAACAGUAUAGCCUGAGCUUCGGUAAGCUCGGACAACGGCAAAACGAUGAGAAAGGGAGGAUUCCGGUGAGUUUCAACAUAUUCAAGCCGGAUUUACUUGAAAGUCAAAAGAAACAAUGAGAUUUUUGGUGAUUUCAAACUAGUCGGUCAAGUCGACGAAUGAUGAUCGACUACCGACAAAGAUCUCGCCGAACUUGGCCAGUACAGAACCUGAGGUGGGGCUUCUGGUGAGCGAACAGUCGCCAAAAUAGUGUUCUCCGCCCUAUUCUCCUUUUCUCUCUCUCUCGUUCAGCUGCUCUCUCCCAUCUCUCCCUCGCAACUCUCUCUCUUUGUGUGUUUACCAAUUCAGUGAGGUGAAACAGUGAGUGUUGCGUGUGUAUUUUCUGAGAGUGUGCAUGUGCGUGUUACUGGUAAGAAUGAGAAUAGCAGAGGGAUCCCUUUUUUGAAGAAGAAGAAGAAGAAAAUGGGUCCUCCCUUUUUGAGUGAUAUCCCCUGUGUAUGGUGAUGGAGGAUUUUUUCCUUCUUGUGAGUGAAUUCCUUGGUCAAGAAGAAGAAGUUUUUUCUUCUCCUUUGAUCCUUAUCCGUGGGCCCUUCUCCCUUUACUUUUUGUGCUCUCUCUCUUCUGUAUAUGUGUAAGGACUAUAUAUAUAUAUAUAUAUAUAUGGAAAUGGUCCAGUCCCUCUGUAGGUGUGUGGAAUGGAAAAAGCAAAGAAAAAAUUAUGAUUUCUUGCA
rnacentral:lncRNA from 1 species